GGGAGACCAGCGACAGCGAGCGCCAGGGCACCGCAGGCACACUGGAUGCCCAGUCCGCCGGCCCAGCCGCCCUCGGACCCUGGACCGUGCGUCGUGGGCACCAGAAACGAGACUCGGCCAAAUCCUGCCUCACCAGCAGGUAGAUGAAACUCAAGAGAAAAGGUGUGGAUAAAUGAAACUAGCCCAUGAUGAACCUGUUUUCUCCGUGACCACAAUAUUAACCAGGAUGAAUGGCGGUGGCAGUGGGCCUGCAUCACAGGUUGCAGCAGAUGUUCUCAAUAUUUCUAUUAAAAUUUCCUUAUUUCCAUAUGCAAGAGGAGCCCCAGAGCUGCAUCCUUAUGGUAGCUACCAUGCCGUGAUGUAAGCUGCCAUUCACUGGGGAGCUUUGGCAAUAGAAUUGGCUAGAUCAGGAAGCCUAUGUCAACUAUGGAACAACAACUUGCAGCUCAUCUCUAUUGAUGGACCUCUAACAAUGAUAUUGG
rnacentral:lncRNA from 10 species